rnacentral:rRNA from 1 species
GACAGAGGGUGCAAACGUUGUUCGGAAUUACUGGGCGUAAAGCGCGUGUAGGCGGCUACAUAAGUCGGACGUGAAAUCCCAUGGCUCAACCGUGGAAGUGCGCUCGAAACUGUGUAGCUUGAGUCCUGGAGAGGAAAGCGGAAUACUUGGUGUAGAGGUGAAAUUCGUAGAUAUCAGGUAGAACACCAGUGGCGAAGGCGGCUUUCUGGACAGUGACUGACGCUGAGACGCGAAAGCGUGGGGAGCAAACAGG